rnacentral:rRNA from 1 species
AUUGAACGCUGGCGGCAUGCUUUAUACAUGCAAGUCGUGCGGCAGCGCGGGGGCAACUCUGGCGGCGAGCGGCGAACGGGUGAGUAAUACAUAGGAACGUAUCCUGAAAUGGGGGAUAGCUCGGCGAAAGCCGGAUUAAUACCGCAUACGCUCCACGGAGGAAAGCAGGGGAUCGCAAGACCUUGCGUUUCUGGAGCGGCCUAUGUCUGAUUAGCAGUUGGCGGGGUAAUAGCCCACCAAGGCGACGAUCAGUAGCUGGUCUGAGAGGAUGAUCAGCCACACUGGGACUGAGACACGGCCCAGACUCCUACGGGAGGCAGCAGUAGGGAAUUUUGGACAAUGGGGCAACCCUGAUCCAGCCAUGCCGCGUGAGUGAAGAAGGCCUU